UACGGAGGAUCCGAGCGUUAUCCGGAUUUAUUGGGUUUAAAGGGUGCGUAGGCGGUUUGAUAAGUUAGAGGUGAAAUGUCGGGGCUCAACCCCGAAACUGCCUCUAAUACUGUUGGACUAGAGAAUAGUUGCGGUAGGCGGAAUGUAUGGUGUAGCGGUGAAAUGCUUAGAGAUCAUACAGUACACCGAUUGCGAAGGCAGCUUACCAAACUAUAUCUGACGUUGAGGCACGAAAGCGUGGGGAGCAAACAGG
rnacentral:rRNA from 1 species